rnacentral:rRNA from 1 species
AUUGAACGCUGGCGGAAUGCUUUACACAUGCAAGUCGAACGGUAGAGGGGGCAACCCCUCGAGAGUGGCGAACGGGUGAGUAAUAUAUCGGAACGUGCCCAGUCGUGGGGGAUAACGUAGCGAAAGUUACGCUAAUACCGCAUACGAUCUAAGGAUGAAAGCGGGGGAUCGCAAGACCUCGCGCGAUUGGAGCGGCCGAUAUCAGAAUAGGUAGUUGGUGGGGUAAAGGCCCACCAAGCCAACGAUCUGUAGCUGGUCUGAGAGGACGACCAGCCUCACUGGAACUGAGACACGGUCCAGACUCCUACGGGAGGCAGCAGUGGGGAAUUUUGGACAAUGGGCGAAAGCCUGAUCCAGCCAUUCCGCGUGCAGGAUGAAGGCCCUCGGGUUGUAAACUGCUUUUGUACAGAACGAAAAGGUUUCUACUAAUACUAGGAGCUCAUGACGGUACUGUAAGAAUAAGCACCGGCUAACUACGUGCCAGCCGCCGCUGUAA